AUAAUUCCUGGCCCAAAGUAAAUGCUUAACAAAUACCAAAAUUAUUAUUAUCCAUUUCACGCCGGAGGUGCUGACCCCUGCAACGUUCUCUAAUGCAGGAAACUUGACUGCAUAAUUUGUGGUAGUGGGGGACUAUGUUCCCUGUCUCCCCU
rnacentral:snRNA from 1 species